rnacentral:tRNA from 2 species
GCCCCUGUGGUGGAAUGGUAGACGCGUCCGACUCAAAAUCGGAUAUCGAGAGAUGUGCCCGUUCGAGUCGGGCCAGGGGCACCA